GAUGAACGCUGGCGGCGUGCCUAAUACAUGCAAGUCGAGCGAACAGACGAGGAGCUUGCUCCUCUGACGUUAGCGGCGGACGGGUGAGUAACACGUGGAUAACCUACCUAUAAGACUGGGAUAACUUCGGGAAACCGGAGCUAAUACCGGAUAAUAUAUUGAACCGCAUGGUUCAAUAGUGAAAGACGGUUUUGCUGUCACUUAUAGAUGGAUCCGCGCCGCAUUAGCUAGUUGGUAAGGUAACGGCUUACCAAGGCAACGAUGCGUAGCCGACCUGAGAGGUGGAUCGGCCACACUGGAACGGGGACACGGUCCAGACUCCUACGGGAGGCAGCAGAAGGGAAUCUUCCGCAAUGGGCGAAAGCCUGACGGAGCAACGCCGCGUGAGUGAUGAAGGUCUUCGGAUCGUAAAACUCUGUUAUUAGGGAAGAACAAAUGUGUAAGUAACUAUGCACGUCUUGACGGUACCUAAUCAGAAAGCCACGGCUAACUACGUG
rnacentral:rRNA from 1 species